rnacentral:snRNA from 1 species
GGGUGUGAGAGUGAUCUGGCUACAACAUCUGUCACCCCAUUGAUUGCCAGGCUGGCUUCAUUAGUUCUGGCUGGCUAGGCUAGGAUCUCCUUCCCCCUUGCCUUCCCAUGUACGUCUCUUCUUCAGCUGCAUACUGUCAAGAAUAAUAUCAUUCUUAACAGGGAAUAACCCCCA